rnacentral:lncRNA from 1 species
AUGUACCAGACUUUCCAAAUAAUCUUGCCAUCUGGAAGCCCAUUCUUGGUCUUUAAAGUAUUUAAAGGUUUUGCAAAAGUGCUCAUAGGUGAAACAGCAGGAAGCAUCUACAACCAUCUCAGAGGGAGCCUUCUGCUUCCAGGAAUAAAGUCACACAUUCACAGGUGCUUCCUGUUUUUUCAAACACUUUGCCCACCUUCUGCACACCAAGCUUGCAUUCUGCAAAACGUGAGCCCAACAGGAAGCUGCCUGCAAAUUCAGGUAGCUUUUCUUACUCUUAACCAGGUCUUGAAAAUACUUUCAGAGAAAUGCCAGCAAAAACUACAGUCAUCUGGGGAAGAACAAACCUGGAAGAAAAAUACACAGAGGACUAGCACCAAGAGGAAAGGAAGGUGGAGAAAUGGAGAACAGGAUAAAGGCCUGGAAUCCUUGCUACUCCAGAAAGAUCUGCAUGCACUCUCUAAAAAGAAGAAGAAGUAGAAGAAGAAGAAAAAGAAAGAAAUAUUAUGAAGAACUUUAUGCCAAUAACGUAACAACUUUAAUAAAAUGCACAUAUGUACUGAAUAGUAUGAGCUU